AUGCCGUCGUGGCCGAACAGCAACGAGACGUCAGACGACGAUGACGAGUACAUGAGCGAGUUCAGCAGCAUGCAGAUGGAGUACUUUCAAACUCCUGACACUGUGAUAGACCCUAGUUUCUGUGGGCUUGUGACUGAAUCUGACAGAAGGUGCAUCCUGCACAGGCAGAGGGCGGGCAAGUUUAUGGCAUUUGAAGGCACUGACACUGGCAGGAGAUUCAUAGGAUGUGCUACUGAGGAUGGUGUGAACUGUGGUGUUCUGGAGUGGGUAGAUGCCCCCUGGCCUGUAAUUCUGCAAAGGUGCUUAAGCAAGCUCUGGAAUAUGUAUCAUGAGCAGAACCUUGGUAGAGCCCAGGAUAAUGAGGCUCAUGGGAUAGAGGUGGCAAAACUGCAGAAGGAGCUUGCUUCUCUGGCCAAUCAGUAUAGCCAGCUGGUGGAUGAUGUGUCCAAGUUGUUUGAUUAUCAGGAUGGAAUCAAAUCUCAUGACAUGGAUUGCACAAGCCAGGCAAUCAAUGAACUGAAGGAGAUGAAGAAGCAACUUGAGGAGCAGGCAAAGAUUGAGCUUCAAAUGGGGAAGCUUAAGCUCAAGAAAGAACAAAGGUGCAUCCUUCAGAGUCAAGCUGAUAUAAUCCAAAACACAAGGAAGGCCAUGAAGGAGCUAGAGGUGGAGAAAGAUCUCCUUAAAGAAGAGAAGAAGAAGCUGGAGAAUGUCAUUGUUGAGCUCCUUAAGGUUGGUCAUGGGUGCAAGGAAAAGCUGGACAAGAUAAAGGAAGUUGUGAUGGAGGAGUGA
rnacentral:rRNA from 1 species